rnacentral:misc_RNA from 1 species
UACGAAGGCCCCGAACGUUGUCCGGAUUCAUUGGGCGUAAAGCGUCCGCAGGUGGUUGCGCCAGUUAUGGGUCAAAUCCUCAUGCUUAACAUGGGGACUGCUCAUAAUACUACGCAGCUUGAGGCUGGAAGAGGCAAGCGGAACGAUCGGUGUAGUCGUAAUAAGCGCUGAUAUCGAUCGGAACACCAAAGGCGAAGGCAGCUUGCUGGAACAUGCCUGACACUCAUGGACGAAAGCGUGGGUAGCGAAUCGG